CACAUGCAGUCGAACGGCAGCACAGAGGAGCUUGCUCCUUGGGUGGCGAGUGGCGGACGGGUGAGGAAUACAUCGGAAUCUGCCUAUUUGUGGGGGAUAACGUAGGGAAACUUACGCUAAUACCGCAUACGACCUACGGGUGAAAGCGGAGGACCUUCGGGCUUCGCGCAGAUAGAUGAGCCGAUGUCGGAUUAGCUAGUUGGCGGGGUAAGGGCCCACCAAGGCGACGAUCCGUAGCUGGUCUGAGAGGAUGAUCAGCCACACUGGAACUGAGACACGGUCCAGACUCCUACGGGAGGCAGCAGUGGGGAAUAUUGGACAAUGGGCGCAAGCCUGAUCCAGCCAUGCCGCGUGGGUGAAGAAGGCCUUCGGGUUGUAAAGCCCUUUUGUUGGGAAAGAAAAGCAGCCGGUUAAUACCCGGUUGUUCUGACGGUACCCAAAGAAUAAGCACCGGCUAACUUCGUGCCAGCAGCCGCGGUAAUACGAAGGGUGCAAGCGUUACUCGGAAUUACUGGGCGUAAAGCGUGCGUAGGUGGUUUGUUAAGUCUGAUGUGAAAGCCCUGGGCUCAACCUGGGAAUUGCAUUGGAUACUGGCAGGCUAGAGUGCGGUAGAGGGUAGUGGAAUUCCCGGUGUAGCAGUGAAAUGCGUAGAGAUCGGGAGGAACAUCCGUGGCGAAGGCGAC
rnacentral:rRNA from 1 species